rnacentral:rRNA from 1 species
UACCAGCACCCCGAGUGGUCGGGACGUUUUAUUGGGCCUAAAGCAUCCGUAGCCGGUUCUACAAGUCUUCCGUUAAAUCCACCUGCUUAACAGAUGGGCUGCGGAAGAUACUAUAGAGCUAGGAGGCGGGAGAGGCAAGCGGUACUCGAUGGGUAGGGGUAAAAUCCGUUGAUCCAUUGAAGACCACCAGUGGCGAAGGCGGCUUGCCAGAACGCGCUCGACGGUGAGGGAGUGAAAGCUGGGGGAGCAACCGG